rnacentral:lncRNA from 1 species
GACAGGAGGCUCUUGGAGAACUCAGACCACCUUCCUGAGUGAGUUCAACUUGGGACUGAGGUAGGAAGAACACCUGCAGGACUUAUACGCACCUCCUCAUAUUUGUAGAGCAUCAUGGUGAACUUGGAGAGGGGAUCUGCAAAGCUUUUGGAAAUACUAUUUUACACUUGGGAACACGUGGGAGUUUCUACCGACUUCCAUCUUGCCCACCCUACUUCCUCCUAAGUAAGGUUACAGGAAUAAGUAAGGCUGACUACAGUCUAAUGCGCCUAUAUCUCCUGUUACUUCAGGGGCAGAGGCAGGAAGCUGGCUGAGGUUCCCCUCUCUGCUGCUCAAGUCCUGGCUGCUUUCUUUAUAAACUGGAUUGCUCUGGUAACCCUAAUGACUGGAAGCUGACCACCCUUGUGUGAGGCCUGACCUACCCUGCAAGCAGCCAUUACAGCCCAGGUGGUUUCUUCCUAUUGCUCAACAGUACUGCUUGGGCCAUUUCUUCACCAGGAUUUGAGAUCCACUUAGAAAGGCAUCCCACAACAGGCAGAAGGACAGAGAGAAAAGCAGAGAGAAGAAGGAAGCACGGUGUGAGACAGUUUCCUGGAAGAAAAGAAUGUAUUUGUAGAUGAAGGGGACUCACGGAGCCACUGCAGAAUUGUCCACAGGUCACAUGACCCUGACCAACAGAGAAUCUUAAAAACUUCCACUGACUCAAAACAGUGUAAGAGGUGGUAGGGGAGGAGAGCAAGAGAAGGAGGAUCAAGGCUUUGAGUAGAGACUGGCAUCAGCUUCUGCUGUAAGUGAUAGAGGACAAUAAACGUAUCCAUCUUCAACAACAUCUCAAAGCUACAUUUCUACCUCGGCAGCCACGAGGAAGGUAGAACAGAAUUCCAAACCUUGCUUUGCUAGUCUCUGGCCUAUGCUUGUUGUUUGUUUGAUUACAAGAGACAGUCUGGCUGUGCAGAUCCUCAGGUUGACCUCAAACUUGGGAUCCUCCUACUCCGGCAUGUUGGGAUUACAGUCCUGCCCCUACCCCCCCCCCCCC